rnacentral:rRNA from 1 species
CUAAUACAUGCAAAAAAACUUUUAUGUUUGUAAAAGAAUGUAGAAGUGCAUUUAUUAGACGAAACCAACCGUUUUGGUUGUAAAAGACUAGAACGUAAUUAAUGUUGGUGAAUCUGAAUAACUGCGAAGAUCGCAUGGUCCUGAACCGGCGACGUAUCUUUCAAGUGUCUGAAUUAUCAACUUUCGAUGGUAGUGUACGCGGCUACCAUGGUGAUAACGGGUAACGGAGAAUCAGGGUUCGACUCCGGAGAGGGAGCCUGAGAAACAGCUACCACAUCCAAGGAAGGCAGCAGGCACGCAAAUUACCCACUCUCGGCACGGGGAGGUAGUGACGAAAAUUAACGAGACGAUUCUCGAUAGAGAAACGUUAUCGGAAUGAGUUCGCUUUACACACGCUACCGAGUAGCAAUUGGAGGGCAAGUCUGGUGCCAGCAGCCGCGGUAAUUCCAGCUCCAAUAGCGUAUAUUAAAGUUGCUGCGGUUAAAACGCUCGUAGUUGAAUUGCGAUAGUUGAUAUGAGUCCUCCUAAUGAGGUGUGGUACUGAUUUUCGACAUCAAUAAUACGAUUGCUGAAGAUGUUCUUAAACAAACGUCUUGAGUGUCGUAAAUGUUACCUUGAAAAAAUUAGAGUGCUCAAGACAGGUUGUAAGCCUGAAUAGUAGUGCAUGGAAUAAUGAAAAAAGAUCUCAGUUUGAGUUUGUUGGUUUACAAAAAUGAGAUAAUGAUUGAGAGAGACAGACGAGGGCAUUCGUAUUGCUGCGUUAAAAGUGAAAUUCUUGGAUCGCAGCAAGACGAACAAC